GGGCUACUGGUGUCUUGGGAUCAGGACUGUUACUUUAGAAAAAAUUAGAGUGUUUAAAGCAGGCUCACGCUUGAAUACAUUAGCAUGGAAUAAUGAAAUAGGACGUUUGAUUCUAUUUUGUUGGUUUCUAGGAUCAGCGUAAUGAUUAAUAGGGAUAGUUGGGACAA
rnacentral:rRNA from 1 species